CCUAGGGUGGCAGCAGUGGGGAAUAUUGGACAAUGGGCGAAAGCCUGAUCCAGCCAUGCCGCGUGUGUGAAGAAGGCCUUCGGGUUGUAAAGCACUUUCAGUGGGGAAGAAAGCCUUGGGGCUAAUACCCUCGAGGAAGGACAUCACCCACAGAAGAAGCACCGGCUAACUCCGUGCCAGCAGCCGCGGUAAUACGGAGGGUGCGAGCGUUAAUCGGAAUUACUGGGCGUAAAGCGCGCGUAGGCGGUCUGAUAAGCCGGUUGUGAAAGCCCCGGGCUCAACCUGGGAACGGCAUCCGGAACUGUCAGGCUAGAGUGCAGGAGAGGAAGGUAGAAUUCCCGGUGUAGCGGUGAAAUGCGUAGAGAUCGGGAGGAAUACCAGUGGCGAAGGCGGCCUUCUGGACUGACACUGACGCUGAGGAGCGAAAGCGUGGGUAGCAAACAGGAUUAGAUACCCCUGUAGUC
rnacentral:rRNA from 1 species